GGUGAGUAACACGUGAGUAACCUGCCCUUGACUUUGGGAUAACUUCAGGAAACUGGGGCUAAUACCGGAUAGGAGCUCCUGCUGCAUGGUGGGGGUUGGAAAGUUUCGGCGGUUGGGGAUGGACUCGCGGCUUAUCAGCUUGUUGGUGGGGUAGUGGCUUACCAAGGCUUUGACGGGUAGCCGGCCUGAGAGGGUGACCGGCCACAUUGGGACUGAGAUACGGCCCAGACUCCUACGGGAGGCAGCAGUGGGGAAUAUUGCACAAUGGGCGGAAGCCUGAUGCAGCAACGCCGCGUGCGGGAUGACGGCCUUCGGGUUGUAAACCGCUUUCGCCUGUGACGAAGCGUGAGUGACGGUAAUGGGUAAAGAAGCACCGGCUAACUACNUGCCAGCAGCCGCGGUGAUACGUAGGGUGCGAGCGUUGUCCGGAUUUAUUGGGCGUAAAGGGCUCGUANGUGGUUGAUCGCGUCGGAAGUGUAAUCUUGGGGCUUAACCCUGAGCGUGCUUUCGAUACGGGUUGACUUGAGGAAGGUAGGGGAGAAUGGAAUUCCUGGUGGAGCGGUGGAAUGCGCAGAUAUCANGAGGAACACCAGUGGCGAANGCGGUUCUCUGGGCCUUUCCUGACGCUGANGAGCGAAAGCGUGGGGAGCGAACAGGCUUANAUACCCUGGUAGUCCACGCU
rnacentral:rRNA from 1 species